rnacentral:rRNA from 1 species
GACGAACGCUGGCGGCGUGCCUAAUACAUGCAAGUCGAACGCUGAAGGAGGAGCUUGCUUCUCUGGAUGAGUUGCGCACGGGUGAGUAACGCGUAGGUAACCUGCCUGGUAGCGGGGGAUAACUAUUGGAAACGAUAGCUAAUACCGCAUAAUAGCAGUUGUUGCAUGAUAACUGUUUGAAAGGUGCAAUUGCACCACUACCAGAUGGACCUGCGUUGUAUUAGCUAGUUGGUGGGGUAACGGCUCACCAAGGCGACGAUACAUAGCCGACGUGGGAGGGAGGACGGGCACACUGGGACUGGGACCAGGCCCAGACGUCCACGGGGAGGAGCAGGAGGGAAUUAUCGGCAAUGGACGGAAAGCUGGACGAAGAACGCCGGGUGAUGGAAGAAGGGUUUCGGAUCGGAAAGCUCUGUUGUAAGAGAAGAAAGAGUGGUAGAGUGGAACGUUCACACUGUGACGGUAGCUAAACAGAAAGGGACGGCUAACUACGUG